CAGCCGUAAACUAUGCUCGCUAGGUGUCAGGCAAGGCGCGACCGUGGUCUGGGUGCCGCAGGGAAGCCGUGAAGCGAGCCACCUGGGAAGUACGGCCGCAAGGCUGAAACUUAAGGAUUGGCGGGGGAGCACAACAACGGGUGGAGCCUGCGGUUUAAUUGGACUCAACGCCGGACAACUCACCGGGGGACGACAGCAAUAUGUAGGCCAGGCUGAAGACCUUGCCUGAAUCGCUGAGAGGUGGUGCAUGGCGUAGACGUCU
rnacentral:rRNA from 1 species